CCUACGGGAGGCAGCAGUGGGGAAUAUUGCACAAUGGGCGAAAGCCUGAUGCAGCAACGCCGCGUGAGCGAUGAAGGCCUUCGGGUCGUAAAGCUCUGUCCUCAAAGAAGAUAAUGACGGUACUUGAGGAGGAAGCCCCGGCUUACUACGUGCCAGCCGCCGCGGUAAUACGUAGGGGGCUUGUGUUAUCCGGAAUUACUGGGCGAUAAGGGUGCGUAGGUGGUUUCUUAAGACAGAGGUGAAAGGCUACGGCUCAACCGUAGUGAGCCUGUGACAAUGGGAAACUUGAGUGCAGGAGAGGAGAGUGGAAUUCCUAGUGUAGCGGUGAAAUGCGUAGAUAUUAGGAGGAACACCAGUUGCGAAGGCGGCUCUCUGGACUGUAACUGACACUGAGGCACGAAAGCGUGGGGAGCAAACAGGAGUAGAUACCCCUGUAGUC
rnacentral:rRNA from 1 species